UAACCGUGCAGGCAACUGGUGGUGGAGUCUCGCCGGAUGAUGUGACGGCAGCCAUCGUCCAUAUUAAUUGAUUCAGUAUGUAUGCUCAAACUUUCCCUUGUAAGGCAAGACACUUCAGAGACCAAUGGUUGACAGUCACAGCUGAUACGUAGAACUGCAGGCUCCUCUGUUCCUGUCAGCUUCAGUAGCUCGUUGAUUAAGAUGUAUGAUUGGGUGACCAGCUGCAAGCUCUGGAUGCCAAGGGUGGAGCUUUAAAAGUACUUGAAAAAAUAGUGAUUGCCUAUUCCAUGGUAAACAACUAAGAUUUGUGCUUUGCAUAGAGGUUUAGUUGGUCAGAGAGCUAUGCACUUUAUAGCAUCACUUUUUGCCUUCUACUGUAAAUCUGCAAAAGAAGGAAUAUGUACAAAUAUAUUUAUUUCAUAUGGACUUGAUGGCUUCCAACUUGAUGAAAGAACAAUGGCUGAGAAGGGUUUAUUUACAACUUAAUGUUUUCCAUACAACAUCCUUGCAUAGGCUAACACAUGACAUUCCUAUGCCUUGCUCCAACGGCUUUAACCAUCUUAAUUUGCUAAAUGGUGACUCGUGUUCUCUAGAGAUUUCUAAUAGUAGAUUUAAGUGCAUGAUUUCCGGUGGGGAUUGAUCCCUCAUGAAUUAAACAAAUAUGGAUUCUUUCCUUCUCCAUAUUUGUGCUUGUCACUUAUGAGUAUCAUAAGCAUUGCAAGGCCAAUGUAUCAUGUCUUGCAAAGCUGGACUUUCUGCUUUCCAGUUGGCCCGCUGAUGUGCAAAUUGAGUUUUUUUUUGCUCUCAAAAAGAUAUUAUAAUA